rnacentral:rRNA from 1 species
GACGAACGCUGGCGGCGUGCUUAACACAUGCAAGUCGAACGGAAAGGCCCUGCUUUUGUGGGGUGCUCGAGUGGCGAACGGGUGAGUAACACGUGAGUAACCUGCCCUUGACUUUGGGAUAACUUCAGGAAACUGGGGCUAAUACCGGAUAGGAGCUCCUGCUGCAUGGUGGGGGUUGGAAAGUUUCGGCGGUUGGGGAUGGACUCGCGGCUUAUCAGCUUGUUGGUGGGGUAGUGGCUUACCAAGGCUUUGACGGGUAGCCGGCCUGAGAGGGUGACCGGCCACAUUGGGACUGAGAUACGGCCCAGACUCCUACGGGAGGCAGCAGUGAGGAAUAUUGCACGAUGGGCGGAAGCCUGAUGCAGCAACGCCGCGUGCGGGAUGACGGCCUUCGGGUGGUAAAGCGCUUUGGCCUGUUACGAAGCGUGAGUGACGGUAAUGGGUAAAGAAGCACCGGCUAACUACGUG